rnacentral:rRNA from 1 species
GACAGAGGUCUCAAGCGUUGUUCGGAUUCAUUGGGCGUAAAGGGCGCGUAGGCUGCGGGGCAAGUCGGGUGUGAAAUCUCAGAGCUCAACUCUGAAACUGCACUCGAUACUGCUUUGCUCGAGGACUGGAGAGGAGAUUGGAAUUCACGGUGUAGCAGUGAAAUGCGUAGAUAUCGUGAGGAAGACCAGUGGCGAAGGCGGAUCUCUGGACAGUUCCUGACGCUGAGGCGCGAAGGCCAGGGGAGCAAACGGG